rnacentral:rRNA from 1 species
UGAACGCUGGCGGCAUGCCUUACACAUGCAAGUCGAACGGCAGCACGGGAGCAAUCCUGGUGGCGAGUGGCGAACGGGUGAGUAAUACAUCGGAACGUGCCCAAUCGUGGGGGAUAACGCAGCGAAAGCUGUGCUAAUACCGCAUAAGAUCUACGGAUGAAAGCAGGGGAUCGCAAGACCUUGCGCGAAUGGAGCGGCCGAUGGCAGAUUAGGUAGUUGGUGAGGUAAAGGCUCACCAAGCCUUCGAUCUGUAGCUGGUCUGAGAGGACGACCAGCCACACUGGGACUGAGACACGGCCCAGACUCCUACGGGAGGCAGCAGUGGGGAAAUUUGGACAAUGGGCGAAAGCCUGAUCCAGCCAUGCCGCGUGCAGGAUGAAGGCCUUCGGGUUGUAAACUGCUUUUGUACGGAACGAAAAGUCUCUUUCUAAUAAAGAGGGAUCAUGACGGUACCGUAAGAAUAAGCACCGGCUAACUACGUGCCAGCAGCCGCGGUAAUACGUAGGGUGCAAGCGUUAAUCGGAAUUACUGGGCGUAAAGCGUGCGCAGGCGGUUAUAUAAGACAGUUGUGAAAUCCCCGGGCUCAACCUGGGAACUGCAUCUGUGACUGUAUAGCUAGAGUACGGUAGAGGGGGAUGGAAUUCCGCGU